UACAGAGGAGCCAAGCGUUGUCCGGAUUGACUGGGCGUAAAGCGCACGCAGGCGGACGCGCGCGUGGGGUGUGAAAUCUGGCCGCUUAACGGCCAGGGGCCAUCCCAUACGGCGGGUCUGGAGCGAUGCAGAGGUCGGUGGAAUUGCCGGUGUAGUGGUGAAAUGCGUAGAGAUCGGCAGGAACACCCAGGGGGAAACCAGCCGACUGGGCAUCUGCUGACGCUG
rnacentral:rRNA from 1 species